rnacentral:lncRNA from 1 species
GAACAAAGACUGGUGCGGAGCGAGAACCUGAUUGGUGCCAGGCGCUCACCGGUGUCCGCGGGCCCCGGAGAUAACUUGCGUCGCCCAGUGGCUCGGAGCGCAGAGCUCCCUGGAGCCGCAGCUCCCCACGCGGUCUUGGCGCGACCACACAGGACUGUGCAUUAUGACAUCACCUGUUUUCGCUUUUUGGAGCCUGAUCAGCGUUCUCUGCUUCUUUUUUUAAAGGUCUCUAGUGUACCAGGAUUUAUGAAGGCCUGCACUUCACAGAAUGCAUCUGUGAUAAUUUUAAAGACCAUCCUACUGAUCAAAGAGGCCAAAGGGAAUGUGGCAACAGUGGAAGGGCAAGGAGUCAUGCCAGAAGACACUGACUAAGACAUUCCUUUGUUUCCAUGUCAAACACUUACAAAUAUAAAAUAUAUUACUCUUAGUUCUCAUUAGUAAAUGGAUGUGAAAGUAAGACAUUCCAAAAAGAAAGAAGUUGAAUUCACAGAGCCAGAAAGCCCCACAUAAAAUAUUCCUACAGCCUAAGUUCCAAUAAUAAAGUGUGCUGUGCACAAACCUUAAACUUUUUACAACCUAUUUUUUGUUCCUGGUUGGAGAAGAGUGAUCAGUAAUAUAUUACUGAAACUGCUUCUCCUCUCCAGGUUUAAUAUUAAAAUGACUCUAAUAUGUCUAUGCUAUCAACUACCUGAAAUGAAAACUUUGAGACAAAGGCUUUCCUCCUUUCUACUCAAUAACCUUCAUUUAGACUUAAUGCCUAUGGGGCCUAGGUAAUGAUUUUCUAGAGUUUAUGAGCCAAAAAGAUAAAAAAGUGAAAACAAACAAAAAUCAAAGUUAAAUUUCUUCAAGUUUCCAAGAAUUAAGUAGUCAAGAAAAAGAUAAAGCAAAUGAAGGGAGCUUUGUGUCAAGAGGCAAGUUGAAGAUCAUAGUGAUGUCUGCAUGGGAUGUUAAGGGACCAGGCAUAUACUAGGAGGUCAUAUUAUUGUGGAAAUAUUAACAUGUAUUAAUGUUUUCAUUUGACCCAGUUUUCCAGAUUUGUCUGAACAACUAGAUGAUUUGUUUUUAUAGAGCCAAUCACUAGCUUUAGAGAAGCUAAUCUUAAUAGAUUUGGAAUUUUCUUGGUUUCCAUUCUUGAACUUCAUAUUCCUCAUCUUUUCCGGAGCCAGUUUUUCAUUCUCUUUCCUUCUUUCUCUCCUUCCCCCUGUCUCCCUUUACCACUUCCCCUUUCCUCUCCCUUUCCAUGUACCUCUUCCCCCUCUCCUCCUUCAUUCUCUACUUUAUACUUGGCUCAGCAAACCUUGAACCUGUUUUCCAGCUCUUGAGUGAAAUAGUUGUUAGGAUUUGCUAUGCCCUUGGAAAAUAAAGGAGGCAUUUCACUUGUACAAUGGGGUUCAUCUUUGCAGAUAUGGUAAAGAAAAGAAAAUGGUCCCCUGGGCAACACUAGAAGGAUUGUAAUUGUGCCAUUCUUGCAUUGUUGAGAUAGUGCUGUGCUUUUUCUAUAUAUACAGGACCUGUCACGGCAUUUUCUAUUUCUCAGUGAAGACAUGAACAUUUAGAGAGUCACAUGUCUGUGGGAAACUACAAAGCCUAGGAAUAAAGGCAGCUAGGAAGAUUCUUAUAUUAUACAAAUGUAACUUUAGCUAUGAUCUGAAAUGGAUUGCCAAGGACUUCUAUAUGGAUGAAAUUGAAAUUUUU